rnacentral:lncRNA from 1 species
UCUGAAACUCCUGAUCUGAAGUGAUCCUCCUGCCUCGAUCUCCGAAAGUGCUGGAAUUACAGGUCAUUCAGCCCUGACAUUCAACAGAUCUAAAACUGUUGUUCUGCAUCAAGAAAGAAAGAGGUACAUGCUGCCAUCAGCCUUUCCAGUUCUGUCUGAAGAUAUAAAGCCUGAGCUAGCUGAGGCAACAGUGAUGGCCUCCCCGAGUCAGUUGCCAGGCACUAUAAUGUUGAGUCUCCUCAGAAUCCACCCUUACACCUCUGUUUACUUCUAGACCUAUAACUAGACUCAAGUUCUGCAGGGGUCUAUCCCACAGACCCUGACCCAACAACAGAUGAAUAAAGUACACUGAUGCAUGAUAUUCUGCUUUGCCAGUUCGACUGAGCAUCUGGGCCACUUACAGACUCCAUGCAGAGUGCUGUAAACAGUUGCGACCAGGGACUGUAAACAGUCCUGACCAGUUAAUGAGACUGGUACUUAUUCAGUAAAGACUAAUUGACAAAGCUCAUGAGUAAACACAGCUAGAGGGUAAUUGACAUCGUGGAGUUUCUGAGUAGAAAGCAAUUAAGCACCUGCAGUAUUAGAUCAAAGGUUAGUCUUAGGACCACACAAGUAAAGAAGCUAGUUAGGUAAACUACUCUACCUUCCAUUGUACCCACUUUAAGCUAUUUACACAAGGUAUGGAUUAGGUUGCCUUCAGUCAUAACCUUAUACUGAGACUUUUACAAAAAUCUUUAGGCUUUCCAAGAAGGUUUGUGGCUUAUAAUUGUCCCUACCAUCUUGAUCAAUCUGCUACCUCUUCCACUUUUUUGUUUUCUGCAUCAGGUUUCUUAAUUGGAGAGCAUAGGUAUGUCAGCAACCAGUCUGUCAGGUGUGGCUGUCCUGGCAGUCAUUACUCUUAUUCUAACUUUGCAUCUUAGAAUUAGCAAACAAUAAAAAACAAUCAUG